UAAAAAAAAAUUCUGAGAAAGAAAAGUUGAAAGGUUUUCUGGGAACGAAUGGCUUUUCCGAGUUGAUUUUCUUUGACGAGUUCAUUAAAGUUUAAGAGAAACAUAGAUACAAAUUUUUUCUUGUUAUUUUCCUGAAUCCGGAUUUGAGUUCUAAGGAGAUAAAAUUGAAGUUCAAGCUGGGUUUUACUGUCGUCUUGCUGAGUUGCUGCUAAACCUCGCUCGUAUUUAAAGGCGAAAGGCGUACUAUUAAGGCUAUAGUUAUUAACAGGAGCUUGCAACUUCAGGUUUGAAUCUCCUUUUUACUAUGUAACUAUGUUUUUUUAAGGAAUUGUUCUUGAGAUGUGAAUUCUGUCUCGAAUGGUUCUAUGAUCGAAUUUCCUGUUGAAUGAAUCCACUCUCAGUGGUGUGAUGAAUUUAAGUAUGCUCGGUUAGUAAAAGUUGAAUUUGCAUGGUCGUUUUCUAUGCCUUGAAUAUUUUUAGCUGUUAUUAUGGUGUUAAAGUAUCUCUGUGGGUUAAGAUUUUAUCGAGUUGAUAUAGGUGAUCUAUCCGGCUUCAUGAUUGUUGAAUGAGUCAGAAUCAUCAAUGCAUAUUCUCGUGGUUUUCUGUUAGGUUCUCUGAUUUUCCAGUACGAGUACCUUUCAAUGUUAGAACCUAGUUCAUAAUCAAAUUGGUAGAGUUGUAUGCCUGAUUAUCGAUGUUUCAUCUGGUUUGUUUUCUUCUAAAAAUACACAGCAACUUGUUCUUAGUUUCUUCAGUUAUUAAAGGCUGAGCAUAUUGCAUUAACUGAAGUCGAAAAUCUAAAUUUAAAAGGGUCACUGUAAUUUGCUGAAAUGGAAAUGCAUCUGGAAUUCAAAGUCAUGUUCGGAUCUUAUUUUGGCAUCUGUUACUCACUUAUAAGGCAACUAAUUAAUUGUGUUGAGGUUUAGCUGUUUUCGUUCCUUCAAAAUAGGAUCUGAAUUGAAUUUCUUGGCUUUCUGUGUGCUGAAAUUGAUAUAGCCAUGUGUAAGGAUUCUUUGUUGUUAUAAGAUUUUGAUCAGCUCAUUCUUAAAUCUGAAAGGAAAGUUGAUUGAAAGUUGCUUUCUUAUCAUGUUUUCAUGAGACUUCUACUACUUGUAUAGUGCUUUCGACUUUCAGGUGUGAGGUUUAAUAUGGUUGAGUUUGGAUUGCUAUGAGAACAUCUUAUUUUGUUGUAAUUCUGUGACAAUUCAAAGUUGGAUUAAUAAGCUCUUAUCGUGGAAAUCAUACCAUAAUCUCAUGAAGUUUGUUAUGUUCAAUCAGCAAAAGAGAUUGGCUCUUGCUUUCUUCUAUUUGCCUCUAAUUGAUCUGGCUUUUAAAAUGAUUGCUUGAAACUGAAGUUUUAUCUUGAAAUCGUCCAAGUGCUUUAAUGACAUGUCACAAAUUCAGUUUGCAUACAUACCUACUGUCGUCCAGCGUUGCUUCCAACAGAGAUUUCUGUUUUGUUCAAGUUUUCAUUCAGUGAAGUUAUGCAUAGACUACUCAUGAACCAAACACGCUUUUGUUGAUUCACCAUGAAUCUAGGAUACGCUAUUUGUCCUGUGUUUCAAUGGUUUAAAGAUGGUCAGAAUAGGUCUAGAAGUGAUGUUUGUCGAGGCAUAGUUAAGUGCUCGAAUGGUGGUUGUCGAAUUGUUAGAUGCAAACUCGAUUCAUAUGAUUAAAAAUGACCCGAAACCUGUUUUUGUUAAAGUAAUUUUCUGGGCAGAAUAUUGCUAAAUACUGGAGGCUAUUGUUGAAGUGAAUCUGGGCCAUUUUAUGUGUUUGAAACUGAUGUGGGUCAUUUAAUCUAUUGCUUGAACAUUGUAUGUGUAGCUAUAGGGAUUCGAUUUUGAAUCCCUGCCCUGCCAGUACACGUGAAUACUGUUUGGGCUUGUAAAGACUCCGUGUUUGAGUCUAGAAGCGUUUGAGUUUGUGAAUCUGGACUCACUUCUAGGCCCAAGUCAGACAGCUCCAUGGAAGAUGAUUUGGGUUCUAAUUUUUGGACUUUGAUUUCCUUUCUUGAGAGGAUCAGUAAUACUGCUGUUUCCUGGUGUGGACUGAGCUCCUGUGAGCUUAUGAACUGUAAUGGCAGCUGGCCCCUUUAUGAUUAAUUAGUAAUUUGGGUUUUGAGUUAGGUAGCGGGUCCAAGCUAAAAGGUCCAUCCUUUUGUUUGAGCCCGGACUUGAAUUCGAAACCUGAAUUUUAACAUUAAUGAAUUAGGACAUUUUCUUUUCUUUUAGAGACGAAAAAUAAAUAGAGAAUCAUAGUUGCUUUUAGGCUUGCCCUUUUAAAAUAAAAAUAAGAUGAGCCUCGCCCAAUAAAAAUGCAAAAUUGCGGGGCCCUCAAUAAAGGUUUAAAAAUGCUUAGAGAAUUGGGAAGGGCCGUUUAGCGAAUUUCACGACCCUUCCAAAAGAUUACAAUGCUUAGACUUUAUUAGGCGCGGCUUUAAUAAAUUACAUUCCUAAAUACGGGUGGACAUUUUAUGCGGCCCAAAUCCAAAUCCUAAGUUAACAACGCGUUAGACUCUAUUAGACGCGACUUUAAUAAAUUACAUUCUUAAAUACGGGUGGGCAUUUUAUACGGCCCAAAUCCAAAUCCUAAAACGUUGAGUAAAGUGUGCCUAGGAUUGUGGGUUCAUUUGAUGCGGCGCAAUCCGAAAACACACUUUAAACGACAUUCACCUUCUCAAUAAAUAUAUAUUAAAUAAAAGCGGUAAAAAAGUAAAAAUUGGCACAUAGGUUCUUCAUGUAAUAAAAUCAGAUAAAAGCUAAAUGCAAUAGUUGAGCGACCGUGCUAGAACCACGAAACCCGGGAAUGCCUAACACCUCCCAGGUUAACAGAAUUUCUUAUCCGGAUUUCUGGUUCGCAGACUGUAACAGUCAUCUUUUUUCUCGGUUCGGGAUUUAAUCGGUGACUUGGGACACCAUUAAUCUCCCAAGUGGCGACCCUAAAUAAAUCAUAAUAAAUCCUGUUUCGAUUGUCCUUUAAUUGGAAAAACUCCUUUACGCUCCCUUUGCGAGGGUGUAUAGCGAAAAAGGAGGUGUGACAACAAUGUGAUAAACUGGGGUUUCAAACCCUCAGGCCAUUAUCUAUACAGACUACUCACCUCUAACCGGCCGUAGGCUAGUCCGCAAUGCCCCUUUCCUCUUGAAUCAACCACUUCGCGCGUUGAUCUAGUCAAAACCACAAUGAAUACGUUACAUUAUGCUAAAGAAAUAUAGCCCUAUCGAAAUUACUCGAAAAAAUGCUAAAAAUUACAAAGUUGGAAAAACCCGAGCCCCGGGGCCACUUCUCAAGAAAUUACAAAAGUCACAUCACCAGAUUCUUCGUCUCGCCACGAGUCCGUACAUAUAAAAUUUACCAAAAUCGGAGUUCAAAUGACCCCUCAAAUCUUCAAAUCUUAUUUUCAAAUCCCUAGGUCCAAAAUCCCCAAUUUACACCUAAAAAAUAUGUAAUCUAGUCGGAUUAUUCGAUGAUAGUUCAAUAUUAUGGAGUAGAAAUAAUCACAAGUGACUUAUCUGAAGAUUUCCAUGUUUUCUUUCUCAAAAAUCGCCCAAGCAGUAUUUUUUCGCAAAACUAAUAGGUCAAAAACGAGCAGAAAUAUGCAGCAGCUUUAUUAAACUAAUCUGGUUGCUAAUACCCAAAUCCGGUCGCUAAAAGUGCGAGAUUUGGUCGCUAAAAGUGCCUGAUUUGAUCGCUAAAAGUUCCACACCAGACUUGAUUCACCAGCACUCUUUAAUUUCACUAAAAAGGCUCUAAGUCCUUCAUACAAACUCAGAAUUAGACGCUUCUUGUUCCUAUGAGUCACAAUUAAUAAUACGAACACAACUUUUCAAUCGAAACUCAAUUCAGAGCUCAUUUGCCCAGUGCAAUAUCCAUUUCGUUCGUCAAACAAUUACUCAUGUUUCACGUCAAAAACCUAAUCGCGGCUUGAUGAAAUUAAACCAAAAUUUCCAGAUCAUUCCUAUAAUUCAUUAUCAAAAUAUCGAAAGUCUCAGAAUGAAAUUUGGAUCUCUAGAACUAAAAAUGAACCUUUAGAUCAUUACGUUUAUGCUCAUAACGGCAAAAAUCUUCCAAAAACUCUUCCAAAAUUUAUCCGAGCCUCAUGGCAUCCCAACAAUGUAUACUAACAAGUACCAAAACACAUUACGGACUUGCUCGAGGCUUCAAAUUACAUCAAACAAUGCAAUAAUUAUGAAUCAACCUCUAAUCGAAGCUUGAUGAACUUUGAUGUUUCCAACUUCUAUUUCUGAUGCCGAAACCUAUAAAAUAACGUCCGAUUGACUUCACAUUUUGCACACAAGUCCAAAAUGACAUGACGAAGCUAUAGAAAUUCUCGGAAUUUCAUUCCGAGCCUCGGAUCAAAGUUUCACCUAUCAACCGGAAUUCGCCAAAUUUCUAACUUUGCCAAAGUAGGCUAAUUUUCACACCGAGCCUCGAAAUUCACUUCCGAUUGCUCUUCUAAGCGUUAAAUCAUCCACCGAAACUAGUCGAACCAUCGAAAAUCCAUUUCGAGCCCUCUAACUCACAAGUCAAUAUUCAAUUGACUUUUCCAAACUACCCUUUCCUUAAAGAGGCUAUUUGUCUCAUUUGUAGCGGAACUCUAUCUUAAUUAUCUCAAAUUCACCAAACACAUAUAAUGAAACAUAUAGAAGCAUUAAAUGGAGAAAACGGGGUGGAGAUACAAGAGACGACGGGUAUCGGUCAUAAGCACACUGAAUGCAUAAUCAUAUCUACUUAUGGUGGUGUAAGCUACAAAACAACUUCCACUAUGAAUCUCGAUAGCACCGCAAUUUAUGUAUCACUGCCCAAAAAUUAUAGCGCAUCGUAGCACAGAAAGGCAACUCAGAGAUCUUCCCAGAUCACUAGCAAAUCCAAUAACGAUCGAAUCAACCAAUCCUUUAUCAAUACAAUUCGGGACUAAUCAAGCCAACCCAAGCUAAACACGUGUCCAACCAGCUUACCAGCAAGCUCAUUACAAAAAGCCUGAAGCUGCAUCUUCCACUACUAUAACUCAUGCCAGAGCCGUAUGAUUUAGUGGCCCGCUACCAAAUAAAUACUGAAAUUCACAAUCUCGCCCGACUACAUGCCCGACCACAAGGAACGCGUCAGAAAAGGUCCUUCAGUAUCGGAACUGAAUCAAUGGUAGAAACCUCUAUACUGACAUCCAUCACAAAGGCCCAAUUAAGUAAAGAAAUUCUUCCCAGCCGUCCGCUGGUCUUUGGAAUGCAACCCACUCUUACUAUAACCUCACCCGAUGCACCUCGCCUCGCAACCUGUGGCUAUCUUCUGGUAUAGCCCAUAACAUAAUAGUCUAGGUUAACCCAACACUGAGGCAACUAGUCUACACCCAAUAUCAUAUCCAAAAUCUAUCGUAUCAACAAAUAAAGAUCCACUCUAGCCUCCGAAUCCUAAUUGCCACUCAACGGUACCGAAUACACACGAUCCACAACCACGACAUAAACUGUGUCGGAGAACUCCUAGUCUCCCCCUCCAUAUAACAUACAAAUCGCUAUACCUAGUCCCAAGUUCCGAUGUAUGAAUACAUAUUACACAUCAAGUACCCAUCAUUCCACAAAAGAUAUUUUAAAAUUUCCCUGUGCCGUCAGCAAACUCGAAUAUUAGCAGUCGAUCCAACAAGAAGAAUGUCGCAACACUAUUGAUGUAUCAUUAGUCUGUUCACAUUACCCUCCUUCCGAGACAUAUAAUAUCGUCAAAUCACUUCCAAUAACCAGUACCAUUUCCUUGAUGACCUAAGACUACUCGUUGCCUAAGAACUUUAUGAACUUCCUUUCAGAACUGAACCGAAACCUUGCACACGCCCGUCUCGGCCCUCUACAACAUACCACACCUACCAUACUUCCAGGGAUAACACGAGAACUUUCAUCUCCCUUCUGCGCCGCAUACUUCGAUGCACUUAACUAACCCAAAACUUUCAUUGAUCCCCGAGUCCCCUACGACAAAGCGCACCUACCAUACUUUCCAAGGAUAACACGAGAACUUUCGUCCCCCUUCCGCGCCGCAGACUUUGGUGCACUCAACUAGUCGAGAACUUUCAUUGAUCCUAUUUAGAACAAAAAUCAUUACGCACUCCAUGCUCCGCAUGUCCAUAGAAAUAUACAUCCCCAAACCCAAUAAGAAUUCUCUCCUAAUUCCAUUUGCACAAGCUAAACUGCCAGGACUAAAUCCUUCUACCUGAACCAAGCCAAGCAGACUGUCAGUACUCACGAGAUUCGCUGCCCAAGGCUUGUAUAAACUCAUUAACUCAAACACGUACAAAGAAUCGAUCAUAUCUUUACCACACCGAUUCGGUCCGCAAACAAGCUACUUCAUUUGUUUGGAUUUCCUCCUGAUUACCCAACGCUUGUAUAAACUCAUUACCUCGAACACAUACAAAGAAUUGAUCAUAUCUUUACAACACCAAUUCGGUCCACUAACAAGCUACUUCAUUUGCCUAGAUUUCCCGUUGAUUCAUUUUCAACUUGAUAUACACUAUUCUUGUAGCACCACAAUGCCUCAACCCAGGCUUACCACACGAGACCCGAACGUAAGACCACACUGUCUAACCAUUCGUGCCUUAUCAGCACUCUGACAUCGCAGGACAUGUUCUCAUUCCGAUGUAACCAAACCACUUCCUUCUCUUUACACAUUCUUUAUCAACAACUCAAGACAUCCUUUUAUUUUCUCACAUCUACUAAGCAACAUAUAACCUUUGUCGAAUUUUUUCUUCACUCGUGCCACCCUCGGCUCAAUUUCUGCAACUAGAACUGAUUCACCCGCUGGCAUCAAAUCGGAACUAACAUAGUACAUGACCGGACAAUCAGCUAAACAACAACUCCCCAACAUAGAUCGAAGCCAUAUAUAUCACAACACAUAUAUUCUAUUGCUGUCGUAAUAUCAUGGUGAGAUUGCACUCAUUCUUUCCUAAGCUUGUGGAAACACGAAUCAUCAGAAAUUUUAACUCUUAUGUAAUUCUUGCAUUCAUUCACCCAACGGUUAAGCCCACUCUUUAGCGACAAAUUUUUUAUUAAGUCCCAAAUUUUUCAAAAAUUUCGGCAGAGCUUCCUUUGUAGCUGGGCAUAUCCACCUGCCAGAGAAUCACCAAAACCAUCCUAACAACACGUCCACAACUUGACUUGGGCUUAUCCACCUGCUAGAGAAUUACCGAAGCCAUCUUAACAACACGUCCACAACUUGAAAAAGCACCACAAUGUAUAUCAACAACAUUAAUCCCGAUAUUACAUGUAUUAUAUUAUCAAAAUUGAUACAUGGACAUGCGUUGCACCUAUUUGAAUCAUAACACAUGAAAAAUACCUUUCAAUUACGCAUGAAAUCUUCUCACAAUAUACAUAUGAAACACAACUUCAGAACACUCCACAGGGGAUAACCCACCUGCUUCACCGCAAUAUAACAUUUCUGUAUACCUUCCGCCGUCAUACACAUUACACAGCUACUUAGUCUUCCUGAGUAUGAACUCAUAUCCUAUCAUGCAAUUUACUUCACUCACACUAGGAGCCUUGAAAAGAUUCUUCAUGCGCCUAUAUUUGGGCUACACAUCGAACCACAAUAGGAAACGAAUCACUUAACAGUUCGUCUAUUAUCCAGCAGACUUCUUCGUCGCUACCAAGUCAUAUAAUUGCACAUCGCAGCACUAACAUACUCAAUCAAACGAAUACCAAACUGCCAUUCUGACUAAUAAUGACAAUACCAAAAAUUAAGUUCAUAACACUAUCUCGCAGAAUUAGCACUCCAGCGCUCAAGCCUUAAUGCGAAGACUCGGCCUCAAGUCCUCCAGACUGGCCCAACAUCAACCUCACAAAGACUACAUCUCUCCCCUCGAUCAGGGAAUCACAAGCCAUCAAAGCACAUCUGCUACCGAGCGCUCAUGCGCACAUGCGAACACGUGGAAGGAAUUUCAAGAGUUACUCUUUCAAGCUGAAUCAAGGACACACGAUAAGAUUUGAAGAAAUUGGAGUGCUUCUUAAAGGUUAUAUAGCCUCAUGCUUAUUCGUGUAGUGCACGACACACCCAUAAGAAGAACUCUACUAAAACUGGCUAAUGACUCGUGAGGCCUAGUAACCUGGCUCUGAGACCAACUUGUCACUCUAAAGGUUCUAUUGCCUCCCGAGGAUAGAUACAGGCAUCUACGUACCGAUCCACGAGACCCUACUAACCGGCUCAUGACUCAUAAGUCCUAUUAACCUAGGCUCUGAUACCAGCUUGUCACUGACCCAAAUCCGGUCGUGAUGGCACCCAACCAUAAUGCUAGGCAAGCCUGACAAACAAUCGCUCUCAUGUCGAUAAUAAAUCUCAAAACCGACAAUUUAAGGAAGAACGUAAUAGUUUUAGAAUAAUAAUCUAAUAUUUAUAGUAAAAUAAUACGAAGAGAUACGAAUAACUGAUAAGACACUCCCAUAAGAUCUGGGGUCACGAGUCUAGAGCCUCUAAAACAAACUAGAUAAAAAUAUCUGAACGAAAAUACACAAGUCUAGAAAUGUAUAAAUAGAUAUAAUAGAAAUAGGAAGAGUAGUCAGGUCCUGCGAUUGUCAAGCAGCUACCUCAAGAACUCCAAUAAGCUCUGGAGACAAUGACUGCUUAGCUAAGCCUCCGGCGCACCUGAAUCUGCACACAAGGUGCAGGAGUAGGGGUGAGUACUACCAACUCAGUGAGUAAUAAGUAUAUAAAAUGUCUGAAGAUAAGAAUUCACGAAAUGCCACAAAGUAAAGCUACAACUAACAGUGCGACACAAAACAUUAUCACGUAUAUCAGUCAUGUAUAAUGCAAGGAUGCAAUGCAAUGCACAUGACCCACUGCGGCGUACAUCCCGAUCUAUUUAACAUUGACGACACUCAGAGGGGGUGUGUACAGACUCCAGAGGGGCUCCUACAGCCCAAGCGCAAUAUCAUCAUAUCAUCGUUGAGGCAUGCAGCCUGAUCCAUACUCGGUCCACAGUAUGCAUAUGAGUCACAUAACAGAUUCAAUUAAAUUCUCAGUUUCCAAUUAUUAAGGAAAUAUAACUUAGUUAUUUAACUUCAGGAAAAGUGAUUAAUCACAGGACUAAGAUCAAUGGUCAUACAAAUCAUGCUAUCACAAUGAUAUCCACCCUUUGAGGAUGCUACAGAUCGGCAAAAGGCCUUAAACAUGGAAAUAAGCCCAGAUAUAUUCAAUACAGGUUGCGUAUCAGUCGUAAAUAUAGUAAAAUUCUUGUUCGGGAUGGACCAAGUCACGAUCCCCAGUCAUAAACAACCCCGCACCUGCCAUGGGGUGCGAGUCACGCCAUAAUAUAGCGUCGCAGUGUGAUAAACCGGGGUCUCAAACCCUUAGGCCAUCAUCUGUACAGACUACUCACCUCUAACCUGCCAUGGGGUGCGAGUUACGCCCUAAUAUAGCAUCACAUUGUGAUAAAUCAGAGUUUCAAACCCUUAGGCCAUCAUUUAUACAGACUACUCACCUCUAAUCGGGCGUAGGCUAGUCCGCAAUGCCCUUUUCCUCUUAAUCGACCUCUUCGCGCGUCGAAUCUAGUCAAAACCACAACAAAAUACAUUACGUUAUGCUAAAGAAAUAUAGCCCAAUUGAAAUUACUCGAAAAAUGCUAAAAAUCACAAAUUUGGUAAAAUCCGAGCCCCAGGGACACUUCUCGAAAAAUUACAAAAGUUGCAUCACUGGAUUCCUCAUCUCGGUACGAGUCCGUACAUAUAAAAUUAAGCAAAAUCGGUGUUCAAAUGACCCCUCAAAUCUUCAAAUCUUAUUUUCAAAUCCCUAGUUCCAAAAUCCCCAAUUUGCACCUCAAAAACAUGUAAUCUAGCGGAUUAUUUGAUGAUAAUUUAAUAUUAUGGAAUAGAAAUAAUCACAAGUGACUCACCUCAAGAUUUCUUGCUCAAAAUAGCCCCAAGCCGCGUUUUUCCGCAAAACUAAUAGGUCAAAAAUGAGCAAAAAAUGCAGCAACUUUAUUAAGCUAAUCUGGUCGCUAAAACUCAAAUAUGGUCGCUAAAAGUACCAGAUUUGAUCGCUAGAAGUACAAGAUUUGGUCGCUAAACACCAGACCUGAUGCACGAGGACUCUUCAAUCGCACUAAAAAUGCUCUAAUUCCUUCAUACGAACUCGAAAUUAGACGAUUCUUGUUCCUAUGAGUCACAAAUAAUAAUAAUAAAAAUACAACCUUUCAAUCGAAACUCAAUUCGGAGCUCAUUUGCCUAGUGCGAUAUCCAUUUUGCUCGUUAAACAAUUACUCAUGUUUCUAUUCAAAAACACAAUUGCGGCUUGAUGAAAUUAGACCAAAAUUUCCAGAUCAGUUCUUUCAUUCAUUAUCAAAAUUCAGGAAGUCUCAGAAUCAAAUUUGGAUCUCUAGAACUAAAAAUUAACCUUUAGAUCAUUACGUUUAUGCUCUAAACGACAUAAAUCAUCCAAAAACUCUUCCAAAAUUUAUCCGAGCCGCAUGGCAUCCCAACAAAGUAUACUAACAAGUCCCAAAAUACAUUACAGACUUGCUCGAGGCUUCAUAUCACAUCAAACAAUGCAAUAAUCAUGAAUCAACCUCGAAUUCAAGCUUGAUGAACUUUGAAGUUUCCAACUUCUGUUUCCGAUGCCGAAACCUAUCAAAUCACGUCUGAUUGACUUCAAAUUUUUCACACAAGUCCAAAAUGACCCGACGAAGCUACAGAAAUUCUUGGAAUUCCAUUAUGUGCCUCGGAUUAAAAUCUUACCUACCAAUCGGAAUUCGCCAAAUUCCUAACUUCGCCAAAAUAGGCUAAUUUCCACACCGAGCCUCCAAAUUNNNNNNNNNNNNNNNNNNNNNNNNNNNNNNNNNNNNNNNNNNNNNNNNNNNNNNNNNNNNNNNNNNNNNNNNNNNNNNNNNNNNNNNNNNNNNNNNNNNNNNNNNNNNNNNNNNNNNNNNNNNNNNNNNNNNNNNNNNNNNNNNNNNNNNNNNNNNNNNNNNNNNNNNNNNNNNNNNNNNNNNNNNNNNNNNNNNNNNNNNNNNNNNNNNNNNNNNNNNNNNNNNNNNNNNNNNNNNNNNNNNNNNNNNNNNNNNNNNNNNNNNNNNNNNNNNNNNNNNNUGAGCCUCCAAAUUCACUUCUGAUUGCUCUCCUAAGCCUUAAAUCAUCCCCUGAAACUAGUCGAACAAUCGGAAAUCCAUUCCGAGCCCUCUUGGUCACAAGUAAACAUUCAGUUGACUUUUCCAAACUACCCUUUCCUUACAGAGAUUAUUUGUCUCAUUUCUAGCCGAACUCUAUCCGAAUUACCUCAAAUUUACCAAACACAUAUAAUAAAACAUAUAGAAGCAUACAACGGGGAAAACGGGGUAGAGAUACAUGAGACAACAGGUCAGAUCGUUACAUUAUACUGGGUCGUUGUUGUUGUACAGUUUUACUCUUACCUGUGCAGAAAAAGGUUAAGUUUGUUGGUGUAUGACUUGAUCUUCUUCAAAAGAAGUAAUACCCUACAAGCAAGGGUUUGGAAAAACAUUUGCGACAAUUGAGAAAAGAGAAAGAUCUCACCGGGAAAUACUUAGGGAAUUCUUCAACACAAUAGAACAUGGCUAAUAAUUGUAAGGAGAUAGUUGAUUGGGUUGCACAAGAAGCAGCCCAACAGGAAGCAGUCGGACAGACAACUGCUAAAGCAGCUCUCAGAGCCGCUGAAAAGGUUGACAGCAACUGAGGACAAAGAUUUAACCUGAACCGACAUCUGGUUGAAGAUGAAUUUGAAAAUAGUAUGCCCAGGCCUGGACGAUCACAGGGAGAGUACGCCAGGCUAGUCUACAACCAAGAAGUACCUGGUGUGCGACCUACUCCGACUGCAACCAAUAAUUUUGAGAUCAAGCAAGGGCUACUUCAGACCAUUCAGAACAAUCGUAUCUUCCGAGGCAAACCCAAUAAAGAUCCAAAUACUCAUUUGAUGGAUUUUAAUGAGAUUAUGAAUAACUUUUAGCACAACGGGGUAUCGAAAGAUGCUAUCUACUUUAGAACAUUCCCAUUUUCACUGAGAGAAGAUGCUAAGCACUGGUUGCGGAGUUUGCCGAUUGGGUCAAUUCAAACUUGGGAAUACAUGACAAAGAAGUUCCUUGAAAAAUAUUUUUUAGUUGCAAAAACAUGGAAAAUUCGAAGUGAGAUCCAUAACUUCGAGUAGAAAGAUACAGAAAUCGUGUUUGAAGAAUGUGAAAGAUUUAAGGAUAUUAUGAGAAGAUGUCAGCAUCAUGGAGUAUACUUAUGGAUGCAACUCAAAGAUUUUUGGGACGGACUAACACCCUCUAGUAGUAGGACACUAAACAACACAGUUGGAGGUGCGCUUAUGAAGGAAACUCCCGAAAAGAUUGUUGCAGUUCUAAAUAAAUUAUCUGAAUAUGCAAAUCAAUAGCCUGCAGAUGAUACUAAGAGAAGGAAAAAGGUUGGGGUGCAUCAAGUAGAUUGUAACACAUCAGGCAAGCCUAGCUAGUGACCAUGGCCAAAGAGAUAAGAAAGUUGACGUUAGCCAAGGUCUAGAGGAAGUCAUCCUCAAUUAGUGAUUUUUGUGCAACGGGGGAAUCCAACGCUUGAUGUUUGGACUUAACUAUAGAUGAAGUGGUAAAUACUCUGGGGAGCUUGGACAGAGGCAACUACCAAAGUGGAAAUAAUUUUAACGCCAUGGGGAAAAGGCACCAAGGUUUUUCUUGGAGUUCACAAGGUUUUAGUGAAAAUGCAUUGCAGCAAAAUAACUCCAGACCCUAGGGAUAGGGAACUCCAAGUUUAUGAAAUUAGCAAAAGUAUCAAUAUCAGCCUCCAUAGUCUAAUCGGUAUAGCAUGGAAGAUCUGAUGAAGACCUUUAUUAUUAAGAAAAAUAAGAGGCUAGAAACCUAUGGCUCAGCUGUUUGAGAACAUGGCACAACUAUCUAAGAAAGGGCAUGGCUAUUCAAAACAUGGAAAGAACGGUGGGUAACUUGCUAAUCUAAUGCAUAAGAGGGUUCCAAAAAUGCUCCCUAUUGAUACUGAAAGAAAUCCAAAAUAGACAAUAAAUGCAGUGUCUCUAAGGAGUGGGCACGUAUUGGAGGAACCCGAAAACAAAAGAAUGAGCUUGUUUAAGGACAUGUAGAGAUUUUGGAUGAGCAAAAAAGUUGCAACUUUCAAGAAGGUGAAGUGAUGGUAGAUGACAGUCUAACGAAGAAGGUGAAGACUAGAGCUUAGAAGAAGAAGAAAGAGGGAAAUUCAAUGAAUGAGGAGACUGAGGAAGGAAAAUACAUGCUUGCUCUAACUUUCCCUCAAAAGUAGAGAAGAGAGAAUCGAGACAAACAAUAUGGAGUUUUCUAAAUGUGCUUAAGCAUGUGCAUGUUAAUCUACGAUUCACGGAGGUGCUUUCACAGAUACUAGCCUAUGCUAAGUUUCUGAAGGAGAUAUUGUCAAAAAAGAGAAAAGUGGAAGAUACAUCGGUUGUUAAGCUCACAAAGAAUUAUAGUGCCAUUGUGCAAAACAAGCUCCCCAAAGAGUGUGAAGAUCGAGUGAGUUUUGCUAUGCCUUGCACUUUGGAAAUUACUAAGUUUGAAAAAUCUUUGUGUUAUUCAGGUGCUUCUAUUAAUGUUAUGCCUUUGCUUGUUUUUAGGAAGUUAGAUAAAGAGAUUGGAGAAUUAGGUCGAUACUUAUGUCCUUGCAGCUGGCGGAUUAUACCACAUUCAUACCUGGAGGAAUAGAGAGAGUUGUGCUAGUUCAGGUGGAUAAAUUUAUGUUCCUUGUGGGCUUUAUUAUGGUAAACAUGGAAGAGAAUAGGGAGGUCCCUCUUAUUGUGGGGAUACCUUUCUUGGAUACAGGCAGAGAAUAUUUGGACAUUCUAGAAAGGCAGCCCAUACUUAGAGAGGGAGAAGAAAAGGUGGUAUUCAAGAUGGAAGGAGCAACGGGGGCCUUAAAGGAGUGAACUGGUAGAGUAAGCAUGAUAAGUGUGGGGUGUACCCAAGAAGGAAGAAAAGCAUCUCCCAUCAUGGAUGUGUGCAUUAGAUCGAGCGUGUAAAGGAGAUCCUGAUUUCGAUUCAAACUUCGACUAGAUGAUUUAGGGGAGUUUCUUUUAGCUAUUCCUUUGUAUUUGUGUGUCAUAGGGACAUGCCACAAUUUAAAAUGUGGGGUAGGGGAUGUAAAUAUGUACAUAUGUGUUUGUUUUAUUUUAUUUCAUUUGAAUAUUUUUGACUUUUCCUGACAAUGGAUUUCCUCAACUGUCUUCUUCAGGGAUCAAGGUCGAAGAAAACCAAAAUUUCUUUCAUCUUUAUUUUACUUUUCUUAGGUAGUGUCACAAUCAUCCCUUAGGUUUUGUUUAUGCCGGUACUUUUCCAAGGGUUUUGCUUAAACUCGGUGUAGUUGGCUUUUCUUUUGUUAGGAAUAGGGAAGUCUUGUGCUGUGUUGUUAAAUGGAGAUAAUUGUUUUUAAUUAUGUUGUGCCUUGAGAGUACUGAGUGCUUUAGUCAUGAUGCGUAGGCUCAGUUCUUGACUCUUGGAUAAGUGCAUGAAAUUUGGGGUAGGCAUAAAAUCUAAAAAAUCAAAUUUCGAACCGGAC
rnacentral:lncRNA from 1 species